UACGGAGGAUGCAAGCGUUAUCCGGAAUGAUUGGGCGUAAAGCGUCCGCAGGUGGCUGUGUAAGUCUGCUGUCAAAGAGCAAAGCUCAACUUUGUAAAGGCAGUGGAAACUACACGGCUAGAGUGCGUUCGGGGCAGAGGGAAUUCCCAGUGUAGCGGUGAAAUGCGUAGAUAUUGGGAAGAACACCGGUGGCGAAAGCGCCUUGCUGGGUCUGCACUGACACUGAGGGACGAAAGCUAGGGGAGCGAAAGGG
rnacentral:rRNA from 1 species